CGUUUCAGCACUGAGUCUCUAUCACUCAGAAAAGAGAAAGGCUUGUGGUGAUAGUAUUCCCUUCAAGUCUUUCUGAAUUCUCUGCUGUAGCUAUUCUCAGACAGUGGUGUAAAGCAAAGGUGUGGGUGAACCUUUCCUGCUCUUUUUCUGACCACCACCAAUUUGGAAUUAUAUUGAAGAACUAAAUGUGUUGUAGGAGGCCGGGGGAACCACGGGGAGGGGGAGAGAGAGAAAAUAAUACUUUUCGUCAAAAGAAUUGUGAUCCAGGUGUUUUGAUCCAGUUCAACAUUAGUUUUUUUUACUUUCUGUUUUUUAAACAAGACUGAACUUAAAUCAAGCAAUCAUCUGGGAAGUAACAUACUACUGACACUAUUCAGUAUUACUGGUGAAUUCCCAACUUGUUCUCUCAAGGUGCAGGACACAGAACAGCCAGGUGGUGGAAGAGCACACAGGUCUGCUCUUCGCAGACACUGGGGUCCUUUCCCGUCCAGCCAAGCACAUUGCUAUGCAGCACCUCAUGUCCAGCUGCCCAGCCCUUCCUAACAGCUUCAAGAUUGACUCUCCCUGUGCUGCUCUUCCAACAGAACAACCAAUUCAACUCUCUGAUGCUGUAAGCAGGAGUAUAUCAAAAUAAAUCCAGAGAAAGUCACCAUCUAGGAAGAGAAUUCUGCAGAACGGGAGUCUCUUUUUUUAGAAAAUGAAACAAUAAAAUCAGUAAAAUUG